UUACUUCACUACUCUUUGCAGUGGAGACUAGCUGAGGUCUGUGAAAGAUUAGAACAUGAUCUUGUGAUCCUUGGGGUUACCGCAAUAGAAGACCGUUUACAGGAUGGGGUACCAGAAACAAUAGAGGCAUUAAGAAAAGCAGGAAUCAAUUUCUGGAUGCUUACUGGUGACAAGCAGAAUACUGCAAUACAGAUUGCUCUUUCUUGCAAUUUUGUUUCACCAGAGCCAAAAGGACAACUUCUAUUAAUUAAUGGCAAAACAGAAGAUGAAGUCGGCAGAAGUUUAGAGAGAGUUUUACUUACAAUGAGGAUUACAACUUCAGAAC